GGGGCUAUGUUGUGAUAUAGAAGAAAGGGCAUCAUUAGUCCCAUAUUGGUUGUAAGUCAAACGUAACUCUGGCUUAUAUAGGAAAUGACCACUCUUUCUAUAUGAGGCUUUUUUUUAAGGACAAAAUCAUAAAACUCAUGGACCAAAAUGAACAAUAUCUUAUGUGUCGAGCCAUAAGUCUUUGACUAUAACACUUAUCACUUAUACCUGCUAUUAGUAGCCAUUUAGCAAAUGGUCUAC
rnacentral:lncRNA from 1 species